CGCGGUAGAACAGGUUCUUGCCCUGCUUCUGCAGGCCCAGGGCCGAAUAGAUCUCGGAGCGCGGCUUGCGCGGCAUCAGGGAGCGCAGGAACUGCACGUAGGCGCUGGGCACCUCCAUGUCGACCAGGAAGUAGGCGCGGGCAAAGCUGAACAGGGCCAGCAGGUCGUCCUCGCCGAACAGCGCC
rnacentral:misc_RNA from 1 species